UUUACUUCUCUAGUUAGAUCUCUUUUGUCAGGAAUGCUGCUGUUUGAUAUCAAACAUUCACACUGUGACGGCUGUACAUGUGCGUCUCUUUGUCUUUUCCUAAAAGAGCUGCAGGCAGUUUGUUGGUAGUGAAGAUGUCGUGGAAUCAAAGGGACUGUUAGGUCGUUUGGGACAAUUUAAAACCAUUUUAAUUCAAGUCUUUAGUCUGUCAGAGCAAGUCUCAAGUCAAGUCUUCAUAAGCAAAUUGUGGUUGACACCUGAAAUGCAGUGUUGGAAUGCAACUAACGCGCCCCGUGCAUGAACUCCAUCGACACUUCCUCGUUCUCAGCCAGCCAGGCCAGGACAAACUGGAGGAACCACCUGGAACAAUAACUAAUCUUAUUAACCUGCUCUUUGAUGAACCAUAAAGUUGAUACAUGAAACAUGAGAAAACCUACUGAAUGUGUAACAAAAUGCUUUGUUGUUUACUUCUAAAGCUUGCAGAUUCAGAAACCUUUUUAAUCCCUUUUUCAAAACAUAGGUUUAAAAAAUAUUUUCUUAAUUCUCCAGUUCUAUUAUGUCUUACCUGUUUUAUUUUGUUUGUUUAUUUCUUUUAAUCUUACUGAAUCUGUGAAAUGUACCUUGUAACUUCUAAACCUGUAAGUACUUCUGUAACCUGUAAGUCCCAAAAGUUGUUGUAUUAAUAGAAUGUGUUAUUAUUAUCACCAUUACACCAUAUAUUUGUAGUGUCCAAACCCAGUGAGGAGAGCUUUGAGUGUGUGGAUGUGGGUAGUUUUUAUGGUAUAUGCAACAACAGGCCAAGUCUCAGUGGAAAGGCAGAAAUUAUGAGUCACGAGGACCACCUUUCUGUCUGGAGGAGACAGAGUGAGAUAAUGAGUGUGUGUGUGUGUGUGUGUGUGUGUGUGUGUUGUGUGUGUGUGUCUUACGCAGGGUAUUCAGGCACAGUGUCUGCGAAGGCGGGCAGGUCCUUAACAUACUCGUUGUAAAGCCACUUGACCUUGAAGUGCAGGUUCAUGUAGUCAGCAGUCUUACAGAGUCUAUGCUUCUCAUGUUCUGUAAAAACGACAACCAUACAUGUGCAUGCACGCACGCACGCACGCACACACACACACACACGCACACACACACACACGCACACGCACACGCACACGCACACACACACACACACACACACACAGAAACAAACCAAAGUAAACACAGGAUUUAUCUCUUGAGGUGUGCUGCAGCAGUUACAGGUUUGCAGUCUCUUGUUAAAGAUCUUUAACACUGCAACUCCAAUGUAAUAAAGUGCAGGUUGGUUUGUA